UACUAAUAAAGUAGCUCAGAAAGGCUCCAGGUGAAGCCACGUCAGCAGACCCUGUUUGUUUUGUUGACACGUGUCGAAGGGAGAGGGGAUUUCGUUUUUUCCGCGUGAAACUUUGAUUCAGGAAAGGGAUUUCGUUUUUGAUUUAUUGGGCUUUAAUGAUAUCCCAAGCCCGUUUGUGGUUAAGGUUUGGUGUUUCUUUGAGAUUGCGAUCUUCGCCGUCCUCUUUCCAUCGUCUCCGAUUUCGGCUCCUCACUGUAACGUAUUGCUUCUCAUUGAAAUUGAUCUUUAAUUUGGUCAUCAAGCUUUACCCCACCUCUCUUCCCACUCCAUCUCAUUUACUCUCAUUGACGAUCCGCAUUUGUAACAGAUCGAAGGUGUCGCUAUAAAUAAGUGUGUCUUGGAACGAUGAGGAUCUACAGCUUUGAGAUUUAUAGCUUUUGUCGUCAAUGGAUUCCGAUGUGGUGGAGAUUGCUCCUCCUGCAUUUGCUUUGGGUUCUACAACUCUGGAAAUCCAAAAAGAAACAGAGCUCCUCAAACUCGAGUGUAAGCUUCCCUGGAGGUAAUGUGAUUAUAGAUCGGAAUGGCAUAAGAACAGAUGCGGUAGAGUUCCCAAGUUUAGCAACCAGUGGGUUCCGAAUGUAAGCUUCCAUUACGUCUGGUUUGUUCAGCCGCUCUCUCUAUGUGAUCUAGCAUAUGUAUGUCAUCGUUGUACUGUAUUGUGUGCUCUCUCAAAUUGCGUAUUAACUUCAUAUAGUGAAAAGUAUGUGUUUGAAAAAAAACAUGUGUUUGUGUAACAUCUAUUCCAUUCUCUAUUGUUGCUUAAAAUCUUAAGAUCUUGUCUGAGGCUUCACAUGGUUAUUACGUUUCUCCUGAUGCAAUGUCUAGAGAUUUGCCUUCUUAUGAAUUUAGUAAUGCCAGCAUUAAACUUAUGAUAUUAUUGUUAUGU